rnacentral:rRNA from 1 species
UACGAAGGGUGCAAGCGUUAAUCGGAAUUACUGGGCGUAAAGGGUGCGUAGGCGGUUGUUUAAGUCUGUCGUGAAAUCCCCGGGCUCAACCUGGGAAUGGCGAUGGAUACUGGGCAGCUAGAGUGUGUCAGAGGAUGGUGGAAUUCCCGGUGUAGCGGUGAAAUGCGUAGAGAUCGGGAGGAACAUCAGUGGCGAAGGCGGCCAUCUGGGACAACACUGACGCUGAAGCACGAAAGCGUGGGGAGCAAACAGC